ensembl:snRNA
GUGUGAAAGAAAGGACAAAAUGUAGCAUGCCCUUUCACAAGGAUGGAAUAGGCCCUUAGGCCCAAUAACAUGCCUAUGGCUAAGGCCUUGCCAACUGCCUUGCAGUAUCAAACCACUGUCUUUU